AAUAGAUACCCCGGUAGUCCACGCCGUAAACGAUGAGUGCUAAGUGUUAGAGGGUUUCCGCCCUUUAGUGCUGCAGCUAACGCAUUAAGCACUCCGCCUGGGGAGUACGGUCGCAAGACUGAAACUCAAAGGAAUUGACGGGGGCCCGCACAAGCGGUGGAGCAUGUGGUUUAAUUCGAAGCAACGCGAAGAACCUUACCAGGUCUUGACAUCCUCUGACACUCCUAGAGAUAGGACUUUCCCCUUCGGGGGACAGAGUGACAGGUGGUGCAUGGUUGUCGUCAGCUCGUGUCGUGAGAUGUUGGGUUAAGUCCCGCAACGAGCGCAACCCUUGAUCUUAGUUGCCAGCAUUCAGUUGGGCACUCUAAGGUGACUGCCGGUGACAAACCGGAGGAAGGUGGGGAUGACGUCAAAUCAUCAUGCCCCUUAUGACCUGGGCUACACACGUGCUACAAUGGAUGGUACAAAGGGCUGCAAGACCGCGAGGUCAAGCCAAUCCCAUAAAACCAUUCUCAGUUCGGAUUGU
rnacentral:rRNA from 1 species